AUGCUGCCGAAAGCCGUGAAAUCCUCCUUUUCCUGGAACAAAGUUAAAGGCAGACAACGGAUGUCUCGUUUCCCAAGAAACCGAUAAUUUCGCGUGACUCUCCUCUCACUCCAUAUCUACACUACACACGCCGUAUCUACAUACACAACUCAACCGCCUUUCCGAUCGCCGCCUCGGCGGCGAUCAGCGCCGUCCGGUCAUGCCUCGGGAAUCGUGCCAAAUCGACGAGUGUACAAUCGUUGAAUUCUGGUUCGAUAAUCACAUCUGAACGGUUCAGCUUCAUGCCACAGUUUACUGGAGAUAUGCAGGAAGGGUGAUGCUGACAUUACUUAUAAGGAUUUAAAAACAUUCGAUCAGAAUUUCUCAGACCAGAGGCUAUGCUUGGAAUCCUAGUUACUUUCAGAGGGGGGAGGGGGGCGGGCAGUACUGCAGUAGUAGACAUACUUAAAAUCUUAAAUGGGAGCCCAUGGAUGAAUCAUUUAUAUCUUUCUGACAUUAAAACAUUAUUCUGCAAUCUGAUAGCAACAAUAAAAGAUAGUUUGGCACAAAGACUUAUAACAGAACAGGUUCAUUAAAAGUCUAGAUGCGACAAGGUUGAUGCUUGCUUCACUUCUUUGUUUCUGUUUUCUUGGAGUUGCAAUCAACAGCAGCUUUGUCUCCAGCAGAGAUGGAAGCAGCAAGUCUAUGCUUCAACUCAGUAAACAGAGCCCUAUUCUCCUGUUUCAGCUCCGCAGCUUGCUUCCUAAGCCUCUCAUUCUCUUGCAUGAUUUUGCAGUUCUUCAAGUAAAGUUCUGAGUUGUUCUUGUCCAUGCUGGGUGCUUGCUUUUGCCUGCAACAAAAAUAAACAAGGAAAACAAUUGUCAGACAACCUGUUCUCUUUAUCAGUAAAACAUAUUAUCUAAUCUAGUAGUGAAAAAGUGUGUGUGUGUGUGUGUGUGUGUGAUGGACAAAUAUGUGUUAAAUUUUGGAUAGCUAAAACUUGUAAACCUUGUUGAGAUUACUGAUUAUCUGUAUGUUGUUUUGAGUUGAGAUGUCUA